ensembl:lncRNA
UAAAAAGUUUAAAAAAGCAAGUGAUUAGCAUAUUGCUAGCAUUACUAGCAAGUGACUAGCAUGUCAUUAGCAUGAAUAGCAAAGUUACUAGCAUGUUGCUAGCAUAAUUAGCAAGAUACUAGUAUGCUGCUAGCAUGUUUCUAGCAUGAUUAGCACGUCGUUAGCAUGAUUAGCAAGUUAUUAGCAUGGUGCAAGCACAUUUCUAGUAUGAUUAGCAUCAGUCUGAAGAUCUGGGCUGAGUUUGGAGUCUGUAGAGUUAAAGCUCUAGGAGGAGUUAGUUUAAGUAGUUUCUCAAGCCAACUUAAUAAGUAAUAAUCUGUUGUUUCAACUUUAAAAAAGUAAGUGUUCCUGCUGACUUAAGUUGGAUAUUUACUGUAAGUUAUCUCAACCAAUUAUAAGUAAUCUAAACUAAAGUUCAUUUUAAUUUUAAGUUGAUAACUAAUUGCAGCAUUAUUUUUUACAGUAUAAAUAUUACAGCAUAUUAAUUACUAUAUCAUACUGUAUAAAAUUGUUAGACAUGACGCAAUGUGACUUUUUAUUAAGUUGACACUGUUUUUAUCUACAAUGUAAAAACCUGUAGAUGACAUUUAUGGCUGCCAUUUGUGAUUAUACUUCAUUUAAAAUCUUGAAUUUAUAUAGUAUUGUUAUUUUUAAAUUAAUUUUCUCUGAAAUGUAGAUAUUUUCAGCGUUCUAUUAGCUUCUCAUAGUUGGGUUAAGACUGUCGCUGUGAUUUUGCCAAGUAAGACAUGUUCCUGAACUCCAAAAAGUGAUAGUGAAACAUAAACCUGUAUUACAAAAAAAUCCCUGAUAAAUGUCAAACUUCACUUGAACUCUAAAUUGUAGAUUUUGCUGUAUAAAUGAAUGGCAGAACAUCAGUGGAGCGUCACAAACAACAUGAGCAGCAAAGAGAACAAGAGUCAAUCUACUGAAGCAGGAGAGAAACAGAGCAAGACACGACUCAGACUGAACAGCAUUGGUAAAAACAGACCAAACUUUUGUCAUGAUGCAGACAGACCUGCAGAGAUUCAUUCUGAUGAUACAAAGACAGACGCUCACAGAUGAGAUGAUAUAAAGCAUCACAUGUUUAUUUUGGAGAAAGCAGCAGGAAGCUCUUAAAGGUUUAGUUUGCAGCAGCUUUAUAAGAGUUUCUGGAGAAACAAAGCAUGCUGUGCAUCACAGACUGACUGAGAGACAGGACUUUUAUUCUGACAAGGACAACAUUGGGCAUGAAACACAAAACUGAUGGAAAAAUAUCCCAUCUUGGUGUGUUUUAUCUUACGUUUCAGUCAUAAGCUCACAGAAGGUGGUAAUGCACAAGACUUGAUCUGAAAAAAUGAAGAUAAUGAAGAAGAAAGAAAUGAUGACGAAAAAGAUGAUGUGGAAUAUGUUUGGAGAUUUUAGGAUUAUGAAUUUUUUCGCCUUAAUGAAUAAGUGAGUCUGUUGUCUUACCGGUUUAUCCUAACAUUUUGUUUUCAGAUGCAUUUUAAGCGUCUCAAACUGAGCCACACACAAAGAAAAGGGUGACUUUUGUGUUAAAAUACCGGCGGCUACUAGAACUUCACCGGAAAAAAAUAUGGUAGUAACAUUUUAGGUUUUAGAGGCUUAAAAAAAGAUGCAUUCCAUUAACUGAUAAUGUUAAUAUACCUACCUACUUAAGUAGUAAUAUGUUUAUUGAACUAUUAUAAUACACUGAUAACCACCAACAACAGGUGGUGAUGAGAAAGUCACAUGAUGAACCAAAGCUCAUCACAAACAGCUUUUCCACAAGGAGAAUAAUAUUAACAUACAGAGAAGCUGCACACACACUCAUGGUAACACACCAUCAUGGUAAACACCAUCAUGGUAACACACACAAUACUAAAAUAGUGGAAUAAACAUUCAUUUUACAACA